rnacentral:misc_RNA from 1 species
GAAAUGCGAUACGUAAUGUGAAUUGCAGAAUUCAGUGAAUCAUCGAGUCUUUGAACGCACAUUGCGCCCCCUGGUAUUCCGGGGGGCAUGCCUGUCCGAGCGUCAUUGCUGCCCUCAAGCACGGCUUGUGUGUUGGGCCCCCGUCCCCCCCCCAAGGGGACGGGCCCGAAAGGCAGCGGCGGCACCGUGUCCGGUCCUCGAGCGUAUGGGAAGCAACUUUUUGUCACCCGCUCCUGUAGGUCCGGCCAGCGGCCUGCCCAACCCCAACCUUUUUUUCAACCAGGUUGACCUCGAAUCAGGUAGGGAUACCCGCUGAACUUAAGC